rnacentral:misc_RNA from 1 species
AACCUUAUGGACCUGCGGGCGUAUACCUGCGGAGGGAUCAUUAGCGAAGUCAAGUCCGGAUCUGUAGGGGGAUUGCAGCUGGCCUAACGGCAUGUGCUCGUCCCUUGGGUCUGUGACCUUCACUACCACACCCCACUGUGAACCAAGCGGGAGGUCGAAAGGCCUCUUGCAUCUUAUACAAACCCCAAUCGCAUGUAUUAGAAUGUCAUAGCGUUAACUCGCAACUAUACAACUUUCAAC